rnacentral:snRNA from 1 species
AUACCUUUCUAGGCCUUUUGGCUAAGAUCAAGUGUAGUAUCUGUUCUUAUCAGUUUAAUAUCUUCUAAUGAUGGCUUUGACAGUUUAAAAGACUUGUCUCACUUCUU